GACAGAGGGUGCAAACGUUGUUCGGAAUUACUGGGCGUAAAGCGCGUGUAGGCGGCUAUGUAAGUCGGGCGUGAAAUCCCACGGCUCAACCGUGGAAGUGCACCCGAAACUGCGUAGCUAGAGUCCUGGAGAGGAAGGUGGAAUGCUUGGUGUAGAGGUGAAAUUCGUAGAUAUCAAGCGGAACACCGGUGGCGAAGGCGGCCUUCUGGACAGUGACUGACGCUGAGGCGCGAAAGCGUGGGGAGCAAACAGGG
rnacentral:rRNA from 1 species